CGUAAAGUUUCGCCGUGCGCGGCGCGGCCCCCGCGGUGCUGCCGGCCCCGCUGCGCGCUCCGUGAGGGGCGCGGGUCCCUCCGGGCGCCCCGGCUCCCCUCAGCCCCGCGGAUCGCCACAGGGGAGCGGGGGAUGCGCCUUCCUGCAGUAAUAAAUAAAUUGAUUAAAGUGGGAUUUGGAACUCCGCUUCCUGCUACUCAAUCCGCAGCAAGACAGAGGGGGAAAUAUCUACCAAAAUUCUGCCUGGCAAGAUGACAGCAUCAGUUGUGAAUUUGGGUGGAUCAAAUAUUAGUAUUUAAGCCACUAUAGCGUUUCACCCAGAAAUCUUCUCCAGCCUGGCAUAAAUUCGGGGGAACUCCUGGCUGCCACCCCUCUUUCCUCAUCCCAGCUCCACGGAUGGCCACUGCUCUCCUGGAGUUGUGCCACGUUCAAACGAAGCCCUCGGAAAACGAGCAGCAAUUAGAGGAGGCUGAUGAGCAGCACUCCGAUAAUCCUGCGUGUAAUGAAGAUUUCUCUCCAAGUCUGAAAUGCUGUUUGGGGAGGGGGCAGGGUGCUCGGUGAGAUUGCUAAAAAAAAUAUAAAAGUCAGAUGACUCCAGCACGCCCACGGCUCCCAUAAUUAGCCCGUCUAUUUCAGUGGUCUGAGGCAGCCCAGUGCAGAACCCUUCCAUUUGAAAUUAUUUGAAAUUAUUACACACAUGUCAUAAUCGUGAUCUAGUAUGAUCAACGAGCUCACAUCAAGUUGAAAGAAUUUGGCCUUAAAGCUCUGUAAUUGUGUGGAGACAAAUCCUUGGUUUAUUUGAAUCACUUCUGUAUUUUUUUUCCCCCUGAAUGAGGCUGCUGCACAGCCAAACAGCUUUUCCUCUGCUUCUUCACUUCCUACCAAAUUCAGUGGGAUGUGGACAUGUGCUUCAAGUGUUUUGCUAAAUCAUGGCACACCACUAUCAAACUUGACACGUGGCCAUAAACCACAGCGGCCUCUCUCAAAACUCACUUGAAAUAAAGCAGCCCCAGAAUGGCUUCGGCUGCAUUAAAAUAAGGAAGAGAACUAAAAAAGGGGAUACAGAAAAUCAGGUUUAAAAUGGUCCUGCCAGUGUUUUUACAGCCAAACCUCACCCAGGCUCUUCAUUUUUUUGCAGUUUGGGCUUUUUGAU